rnacentral:rRNA from 1 species
CCUACGGGUGGCAGCAGUGAGGAAUAUUGGUCAAUGGACGAGAGUCUGAACCAGCCAAGCAGCGUGAAGGAUGAUUGCCCUAUGGGUUUUAAACUUCUUUUAUAAAGGACUAAAACGAGCCACGUGUGCCUUUUUGCAUUUACUUUAUGAUUAAGGAUCGGCUAACUCGGUGCCAGCACCCGCGGUAUUACGGAGGUUCCGAGCGUUAUCCGGAUUUAUUGGGUUUAAGGGGAGCGUAGAUGGGAUGUUAGUCCAGUUGUGAAGGUUUGCGGCUCAACGGUAAAAUUGCAAUUGAUACUGGCAGUCUGGAGUACAGUUGAGGUAGGCGGAAUUCGUGGUGUAGCGGUGAAAUGCUUAGAUAUCACGAAGAACACCGAUUGCGAAGGCAGCUUACUAAACUGUGACUGACAUUGAUGCUCGAAAGUGUGGGUAUCAAACAGGAUUAGAUACCCUGGUAGUC